CCUACGGGUGGCAGCAGUGAGGAAUAUUGGUCAAUGGCCGGAAGUCUGAACCAGCCAAGCCGCGUGAAGGACGAAGGUGCCAAGCAUUGUAAACUUCUUUUGUCAAGGGACAAAAUCAGGCUCGAGAGCCUGCCCGAGGGUACUUGAAGAAAAAGCAUCGGCUAACUCCGUGCCAGCAGCCGCGGUAAUACGGAGGAUGCGAGCGUUAUCCGGAUUUAUUGGGUUUAAAGGGUGCGUAGGCGGGCUGUUAAGUCAGCGGUAACAGCCCGGGGCUCAACCACGGCGAGCCGUUGAAACUGGCGGUCUUGAGAUGUCGAGAGGUAUGCGGAAUGCGCAGUGUAGCGGUGAAAUGCUUAGAUAUUGCGCAGAACUCCGAUUGCGAAGGCAGCAUACCGGCGGCGAUCUGACGCUGAGGCACGAAAGCGUGGGUAUCGAACAGGAUUAGAUACCCCGGUAGUC
rnacentral:rRNA from 1 species